rnacentral:lncRNA from 1 species
UACAAUGUUCUCCCGCUCCCAAUAGAAAUCAUUAUUAUUUGGAAGAUCCCCUUGUCUUUGGGCUUUUAGCUGACUAGCAGGUCCCCUCUCUGCGUUCAUAGCAGUUGUAAAUCUCACUCUUGGACUGUGUGUAAGCAUGUGCUGAUUUCAAAAGAAAGAUGAGGAAAUUCCUGUCACUCACUCUUAACCCUGAGCUCUUACUCAAGAAAGAAGUCAGUAAGACUAUGUGGUUUAUAAUGACUCACAGUAUGAGGCAACAACCCAGAGCUGGUGUCUUUAAUACUGCAGAACAAAAGGCCAGGUAUAGCCUUCAGUCAAUCAUGAUGUCUAGCAACCAUGAAGGACGCCUCCAGAUCCAAAACUCUGGUAAACCUUUGUCCAUCAAAAGUCAUAUUGUUAGGCAGUCCUUUCUCUUUUUGGAAUACAGGUUCUAUGGCCUUAUUCACUUUCCUUUAUAUAUCUAUAAGCCCAUCAAACUAAAGAGA